AUUGAACGCUGGCGGCAGGCCUAACACAUGCAAGUCGAGCGGCAGCGGGAAAGUAGCUUGCUACUUUUGCCGGCGAGCGGCGGACGGGUGAGUAAUGCCUGGGAAAUUGCCCAGUCGAGGGGGAUAACAGUUGGAAACGACUGCUAAUACCGCAUACGCCCUACGGGGGAAAGCAGGGGAUCUUCGGGCCUUGCGCGAUUGGAUAUGCCCAGGUGGGAUUAGCUAGUUGGUGAGGUAAUGGCUCACCAAGGCGACGAUCCCUAGCUGGUCUGAGAGGAUGAUCAGCCACACUGGAACUGAGACACGGUCCAGACUCCUACGGGAGGCAGCAGUGGGGAAUAUUGCACAAUGGGGGAAACCCUGAUGCAGCCAUGCCGCGUGUGUGAAGAAGGCCUUCGGGUUGUAAAGCACUUUCAGCGAAGAGGAAAGGUUGAUGCCUAAUACGUAUCAACUGUGACGUUACUCGCAGAAGAAGCACCGGCUAACUCCGUGCCAGCCGCCGCGGUAA
rnacentral:rRNA from 1 species